UACGUAUGGAGCAAGCGUUAUCCGGAUUUACUGGGUGUAAAGGGAGCGCAGGCGGUCUGGCGAGUCUGAUGUGAAAGGCCGGGGCUCAACCCCGGGACUGCAUUGGAAACUGUCAGACUGGAGUGUCGGAGAGGUAAGCGGAAUUCCUAGUGUAGUGGUGAAAUGCGUAGAUAUUAGGAGGAACACCAGUGGCGAAGGCGGCUUACUGGACGAUGACUGACGCUGAGGCUCGAAAGCGUGGGGAGCAAACAGG
rnacentral:rRNA from 1 species